UGUUCUUGGAGGAGGAGUGGAUAGAGAAAGAGGAGAGAGAGAGACAGCUUCAGCCACCGGGGGCAGUGAUAGAACGUUCGACCUACUGUUGCAAAUUCCAACCGACCGCCUGGAGCAGUCAGGGCCGCUGCCAGGGGCGGAGGAGACCCCUACCAGCCACUAAAAUGUGGCGGGGUCAGAGGACCACGAGCAGGGAGGGGCUCCAGGCCGACCGCUUGGAGCGGGAGGGCCAGAGGACUGCCUCCGAUACGCCCACGAGAACCAGCGAGUUGGUCCAGCUAAUGUGGGUGGCUGCUGUAGCUCAGGUGGUAGAGCGGGUCGGCCACUAAUCACAUGACUCCACAUGCCGUUCAAGACACUGAACCCUAAGUUGCUCCCAAUGGCAGGCUAGCACCUUGCAUGGCAGCUCUGCCAUCAUUGGUGUGUGUGUGUGAGAUAGUGAUGAAUGGGACCUAUCAUGUGCAUGCCAAUUCUCCAGACGAGGUCUGCAUCUAAAAGGUGAUUGGCUC